rnacentral:misc_RNA from 1 species
GACCCUGGCCAAUCACUCCAAAAAAUAACCCACUUACACAAGUGUUCUAGCCACUAACAGCAAACAGCUUCCAAACCCUUAGCACGAGCUGCGCCUCUCGAGGUAAAUGCAUUGGUAAGCCACUGGUAAGAUCGACCUCUCAAGUGUACUUGAAAUCAAGAACGCGCAAAGGUGCAUAGUGAGAAGCAUAAGGAAGAGAGACUCUGUUCAAAACGCCACCACGAAAGGUGAUAGCGAGUAUUAUGUCAAGGUGCAUAGACUGUCCAAAAAGAAACUGCAGAAAGCUUGGAGAGAUUUAAGGCAGCAUAGUGAGAAGCUGUAGGUCAAGAGAUGAUACACUGUCAAAAGAAACAAGAGAAUGCCAAGGUUACAUCACGAAGGCGCAUAUGAGAAGAGUUAUGUCAACAGA